UACGGGGGGGGCAAGCGUUGUUCGGAAUUACUGGGCGUAAAGGGCGUCGUAGGCGGCCAACGUAAGUCGGAUGUGAAAUCCCCAGGCUUAACCUGGGAACUGCAUCCGAUACUGGAUGGCUUGAAUCCGGGAGAGGAAUGCAGAAUUCCAGGUGUAGCGGUGAAAUGCGUAGAUAUCUGGAGGAAUACCGGUGGCGAAGGCGGCAUCCUGGACCGGCAUUGACGCUGAUGAGC
rnacentral:rRNA from 1 species